GACGAACGCUGGCGGCGUGCCUAAUACAUGCAAGUAGAACGCUGAAGAGAGGAGCUUGCUCUUCUUGGAUGAGUUGCGAACGGGUGAGUAACGCGUAGGUAACCUGCCUUGUAGCGGGGGAUAACUAUUGGAAACGAUAGCUAAUACCGCAUAACAAUGGAUGACACAUGUCAUUUAUUUGAAAGGGGCAAUUGCUCCACUACAAGAUGGACCUGCGUUGUAUUAGCUAGUAGGUGAGGUAAUGGCUCACCUAGGCGACGAUACAUAGCCGACCUGAGAGGGUGAUCGGCCACACUGGGACUGAGACACGGCCCAGACUCCUACGGGAGGCAGCAGUAGGGAAUCUUCGGCAAUGGGGGCAACCCUGACCGAGCAACGCCGCGUGAGUGAAGAAGGUUUUCGGAUCGUAAAGCUCUGUUGUAAGUCAAGAACGGGUGUGAGAGUGGAAAGUUCACACUGUGACGGUAGCUUACCAGAAAGGGACGGCUAACUACGUGCCAGCAGCCGCGGUAAUACGUAGGUCCCGAGCGUUGUCCGGAUUUAUUGGGCGUAAAGCGAGCGCAGGCGGUUUGAUAAGUCUGAAGUUAAAGGCUGUGGCUCAACCAUAGUUCGCUUUGGAAACUGUCAAACUUGAGUGCAGAAGGGGAGAGUGGAAUUCCAUGUGUAGCGGUGAAAUGCGUAGAUAUAUGGAGGAACACCGGUGGCGAAAGCGGCUCUCUGGUCUGUAACUGACGCUGAGGCUCGAAAGCGUGGGAAGCGAACAGGAUUAGAUACCCUGGUAGUCCACGCCGUAAACGAUGAGUGCUAGGUGUUGGAUCCUUUCCGGGAUUCAGUGCCGCAGCUAACGCAUUAAGCACUCCGCCUGGGGAGUACGACCGCAAGGUUGAAACUCAAAGGAAUUGACGGGGGCCCGCACAAGCGGUGGAGCAUGUGGUUUAAUUCGAAGCAACGCGAAGAACCUUACCAGGUCUUGACAUCCCGAUGCUAUUUCUAGAGAUAGAAAGUUACUUCGGUACAUCGGUGACAGGUGGUGCAUGGUUGUCGUCAGCUCGUGUCGUGAGAUGUUGGGUUAAGUCCCGCAUCGAGCGCAACCCCUAUUGUUAGUUGCCAUCAUUCAGUUGGGCACUCUAGCGAGACUGCCGGUAAUAAACCGGAGGAAGGUGGGGAUGACGUCAAAUCAUCAUGCCCCUUAUGACCUGGGCUACACACGUGCUACAAUGGUUGGUACAACGAGUUGCGAGUCGGUGACGGCGAGCUAAUCUCUUAAAGCCAAUCUCAGUUCGGAUUGUAGGCUGCAACUCGCCUACAUGAAGUCGGAAUCGCUAGUAAUCGCGGAUCAGCACGCCGCGGUGAAUACGUUCCCGGGCCU
rnacentral:rRNA from 1 species